GAACAUAUUGAUAAAAAUUCUAGCCCUAUAUAGGGGUAAUGGAAACACAUGGAAUGUUCUAUUAUACUUAUAGUUUUUUAAAUCAAUCAACUAAAUCCAUCAACUAAAUCAAGGAAAGAAUAAUCGGUCUUUCUGAAUUCUGAUUUGUGGUACUGAUAUUGUUGAAAUAUACAAGUUCGUGACAUUUAUUUAAAAAGGGGCUACGGUGGCCAAGUGGUUAGCGCACUUGCCUUUCAUCUCUGAGGCUGCAGGUUCGAAUCUCACUAAGUACCUUCUCAGUGCGACUCGAACCCAGUCCCCAUGUGAAAAGAGUAAAAGUCAACGCUCUGCCGAACGCCGUGGGUUUUCCCCGGGUACUCCGGUUUCCUCCCACACGGAAAAGUUGACAGGGUGGGUUAGGUAAAAAGGGCCCACAGUAAUUGGCAUAUGCUGUUGUGGUGACCCUGCCCUAGUUGGCGAAGCUAAAAAAAAAAAAAAAAAAAAAAAAAAAAAAUUUAUGAAUCUGGUCAGACUGAAUAAAUGUGGCAUAACAUUCAAAAUCAAAGCUCUCUCAGCGUGUCAGGAAAAGAACAUUACGACUAUAUUUACAAAGAGGGUUUUACUAGCUGUGGUAGUCUCUUUCAUCUGAGAUAUGUUAGUCCGAAAGAAAUUGUUUACUUUUAGCGCCUCUCAAGAAAUAUGUUAAUUAGCUAUAAAUUAUGCAAAAA